AUAUAAUAAGGAAUAUAGGAAAAUUGAAAAACAUCAAUAAAUGAACAUAUAUCAUAUCUUAGUUACACCAAUUUGUAAUAUUUUGUUUGGUUAAUGUCAAAUCCUCCUUCACUAAUUAAUUAAAACUUGAAAAGCAUAUGUUUCACACAACAUACACACACAUUGGUCGGCUUAGGAUUACAUGCUAAUCAAAGUCGACAAUGGAAUAAUUUGACUCUAGUAUGAUUUUUUUUUUUGGUAAGCUGAGGGGUGGCAAUUGCCUACCCCAAUUUAUUAAGAACAAACUACAAAAAAUUACAAUAAAACAGCUCGAGGGAACUCUGUUCCAUUAACAUCUGCGAGCAAAAGUAAACGGACUCCCUCUGGGCAUGCAUCAAAACAAUGAAGCCCUAGCGGCAAGGUAAAGGCAUAGUUUGCUAACCCGUCAGCGAGACGGUUAGCUUCCCUAUACACGUGUGACACACGGACUAACCAGUCCCUCGUAAAGAAGCCUUGGCACAACCGUACCAGGAAGGACAGCGGAUGAGCGUUGCUUACCCCUGUGCUUAAAAAACCCACCACCAACUUGCAAUCCAAGUCUAACUCCACUCGUCGAAACCCCUUGUCCCACGCAAUGAGCAGCCCAUAGUAGGCGCCCCAUAACUCGGCUAAUGGCGCUGCACAAGAUCCAAUGUUUAGUGCAAAACCACCUAGCCACUCCCCCUGCCCAUUCCGGAUGGCCCCUCCUGCCGCAGCCAGCCCGUGAUUCCCACGGGACGCUCCAUCCGUGGUAAUUUUCACCCACCCAUCGCUUGGAACCUGCCACCUGAUCAUUCUUUCCACCCGCACACCAUUAGGCCGGUUACCAACAGCACCAACAUGUACUCUCCUCACCUCCUCCGCCAUGUCUUUGAUGAACUUCAGCCUGUCCCGACAAAUCUUUCGUUCCCCAAACACAUCACAACACCUCCACUUCCAAGCCCACCAAAUUCCCAUACCAAAAAGAGUAGGCCAAAUCCCCUUUACUGGAUCCAUAUUUGUAAAUAACCACUCCAAUAAAGACUGGCUAAAAAACUCAUGAUGUCGUCUCAGUGGCAGCAACCGACGCCAAAUCGGUUCCAUAGCGGGGCAGUCACGCAACACAUGGAGUAUUGUUUCCUCGGCUCCAUUACACACCGAACAUAUAGCAUUCUCACUCAAAUGGCGCCGGACUCUCUCCACAUUAGUCAUGAUCACAUUCUGGCUCACCAACCAAAUAAACACCCGUACUCUCUCAGGCGUGAUCAGCUUCCAGAUUCUGUUAAAGAAGCUCCCCAUAUUCGGCCUGUCUCCAACGUCACCUUGUAGGAGGGAAUACGCAGAGCGGACUGUGAAGGCCCCAUCCUGUGUACCCUUCCAUGAUAUCUCGUCUCCAUUACCCAGAAAAACCUGAACCACAACCGAGAGCAACCGCCUCUUAACUGUCUCUGGCAGAUACAAACCCAGAAUUUCCAGGUUCCAACCUGAUCCCGGCAACCAAUAAUCGGCUGCCACCUUUAUUCUCUCCCCCUCCGGUAUCAUAUCAGUCCCAAGCUCCACCAACGGCUCCUGCAACAGCCAGCGAUCCAACCAGAACCUUAUUGUGCACCCAUCUCCAGGCACCCAUCCAACGCCCUUAACCACCACUUCCCGGAGCCCUACUGCCACACUUCUCCACGUGGAGGACCAUCUUGGUUGUGGUUUCAGCCAGCUAGUAUCUUGUACUCCACCCACUUUGUACUUUUUGCGAACAACCCGUGCCCAUAAGCUCUCUUUAUCUUGAAGCAGACGCCACCCCACCUUGGCUACCAAGGCCUUAUUCAUAUCACGAGCAGACCGUAAUCCGAUCCCUCCCUCAGCUUUCGGCUUACAUAUCUUACGCCAAGAUAGCAAGUGUUGUUUUUUCUUCUCCAUAGUACUCCCCCAAAGAAAAGUUCUGGAGUAUCUAUCCAAAGUAUCAAGCGUAGAGACCGGUAAAAGAAUCGCACUCAUUACAUGAACCGGGAUAGAAGACAGAACCGCUUUUGUCAGAGUGAUUCUCCCUGCCAAGCUCAAAGAUCGGCCCUUCCAACCCGCCAACCGAGCUGAAACUCUUUCCAACACUUCUCCAAACGUCUCCUUAUUCAUUCGUUUCUGUAAGAUUGGCAUACCCAAAUACUUCCCCAGCUCUUUAGUGCAACCAAUCCCACUCUCUUCACUUAUCAAUUGCUCCAUUUCUCUACUCACAUUGUGA
rnacentral:sRNA from 1 species